GCCGGGCGCGCGGGAGAGUGUGACGGCCAUCGCUGGCCCGAUCCGCCGAAGGAGCAACCGCCCCGGAAACUCUCAGGCAACCGGACCGCGCGACCGGG
rnacentral:ncRNA from 2 species